rnacentral:rRNA from 1 species
AACCUAUCCCUAGGCGGGGGACAACCACUGGAAACGGUGGCUAAUACCCCAUGUGCUGAGGAGCAAAAGGAGGAAUCCACCCAGGGAGGGGCUUGCGUCUGAUUAGCUAGUUGGUGAGGUAAUAGCUUACCAAGGCAACGAUCAGUAGCUGGUCUGAGAGGAUGAUCACCCACACUGGGACUGAGACACGGCCCAGACUCCUACGGGAGGCAGCAGUGGGGAAUUUUCCGCAAUGGGCGCAAGCCUGACGGAGCAAUGCCGCGUGGAG